rnacentral:tRNA from 1 species
GCGGGCGUGGCGCAAUUGGCUGACGCGCUGGAUUUAGGUUCCAGUGUCCUAACGGACAUGUGGGUUCGAGUCCCACCGCCCGCACCA